CGAAGCAACGCGAAGAACCUUACCAGGUCUUGACAUCCUUUUGAAUGGUCUAGAGAUAGAUCAGGCCUUCGGGACAGAAGAGACAGGUGGUGCAUGGUUGUCGUCAGCUCGUGUCGUGAGAUGUUGGGUUAAGUCCCGCAACGAGCGCAACCCCUACGUUUAGUUGCUAACGCGUGAAGGCGAGCACUCUAGACGAACUGCCGUUGACAAAACGGAGGAAGUGGGAUGACGUCAAAUCAUCAUGCCCCUUAUGUUCUGGGCUACACACGUGCUACAAUGGCCGGUACAGACGGACGCAAAGCCGCGAGGUGGAGCAAAUCCUAAAAAGCCGGUCUCAGUUCGGAUUGCAGGCUGCAAUUCGCCUGCAUGAAGUCGGAAUCGCUAGUAAUCGCAGGUCAGCAUACUGCGGUGAAUACGUUCCCGGGCCUU
rnacentral:rRNA from 1 species